rnacentral:tRNA from 1 species
UGGGAUAUGGCUCAGUUGUUAGAGUGCUUGCCUCACAUGCCACGCCCUGGGUUCAAUCCCCAGUACCCCCC